rnacentral:rRNA from 1 species
GAUGAACGCUGGCGGCGUGCCUAAUACACGCAAGUCGAGCGAACAGACGAGGAGCUUGCUCCUUUGACGUUAGCGGCGGACGGGUGAGUAACACGUAGGUAACCUACCUAUAAGACUGGGAUAACUUCGGGAAACCGGAGCUAAUACCGGAUAAUAUUUCGAACCGCAUGGUUCGAUAGUGAAAGAUGGCUUUGCUAUCACUUAUAGAUGGACCUGCGCCGUAUUAGCUAGUUGGUAAGGUAACGGCUUACCAAGGCAACGAUACGUAGCCGACCUGAGAGGGUGAUCGGCCACACUGGAACUGAGACACGGUCCAGACUCCUACGGGAGGCAGCAGUAGGGAAUCUUCCGCAAUGGGCGAAAGCCUGACGGAGCAACGCCGCGUGAGUGAUGAAGGUCUUCGGAUCGUAAAACUCUGUUAUUAGGGAAGAACAAACGUGUAAGUAACUGUGCACGUCUUGACGGUACCUAAUCAGAAAGCCACGGCUAACUACGUG